rnacentral:rRNA from 1 species
UAUGUGAUCGUCUCUCGCAUAUCAAUAAGCGGAGGAAAAGAAACUAACAAGGAUUCCCCUAGUAACGGCGAGUGAAGCGGGAAGAGCUCAAAUUUGAAAUCUUAAAGGGUUUCCCUUUACGAAUUGUAGUUUAAAGAAGUGUUUUCUGUUGAGGUUUUGGUAAAAGUUCUUUGGAAUAGGACAUCAUAGAGGGUGAGAAUCCCGUAUUUGACCUUUACUUUCAACUUUGUGAUACACUUUCAAAGAGUCGGAUUGUUUGGGAAUGCAGUCCAAAAUGGGUGGUAAAUUUCAUCUAAAGCUAAAUAUUGGCGAGAGACCGAUAGCGAACAAGUACCGUGAGGGAAAGAUGAAAAGAACUUUGAAAAAGAGAGUUAAACAGUACGUGAAAUUGUCAAAAGGGAAGCGUUUGACACCAGUGUUGUUUUUCUGAAAAUCAAUUAAAGAACUGUUUAUGCUAAGUUGUUUAGACUUUAUCAGCUAAUCUGUUUAGUUUUGAGCUUUUCUUUAAUGCACUUUUCAGUUAACAAGUCAACAUCAAUUUCUUUUGCUGUAAAAAGCUUGAGGAAGGUGGCUUGAGAUUCGUCUUAAGUGUUUAUAGCCUCUUGCCUAUGCAGUCGGAGAGAUUGAGGUCUGCAGGCGUAGAUCCUUCGGGGCUAAAUGCAUUUGUGCUAAGUUAUAGCAUUUUAUAGACAACUUGUUGACUAUGAUUUGUCUUGUAGCUUACUCGCUUAUGUUAUUUUACCUACGCUUAGGAUGUUGAGUAGCGACAUACGCAC